rnacentral:rRNA from 1 species
GACGAACGCUGGCGGCGUGCUUAACACAUGCAAGUCGAACGGAAGGGCCCUGCUUUUGUGGGGUGCUCGAGUGGCGAACGGGUGAGUAACACGUGAGUAACCUGCCCUUGACUUUGGGAUAACUUCAGGAAACUGGGGCUAAUACCGGAUAGGAGCUCCUGCUGCAUGGUGUGGGUUGGAAAGUUUCGGCGGUUGGGGAUGGACUCGCGGCUUAUCAGCUUGUUGGUGGGGUAGUGGCUUACCAAGGCUUUGACGGGUAGCCGGCCUGAGAGGGUGACCGGCCACAUUGGGACUGAGAUACGGCCCAGACUCCUAUGGGAGGCAGCAGUGGGGAAUAUUGCACAAUGGGCGGAAGCCUGAUGCAGCAACGCCGCGUGCGGGAUGACGGCCUUCGGGUUGUAAACCGCUUUCGCCUGUGACGAAGCGUGAGUGACGGUAAUGGGUAAAGAAGCACCGGCUAACUACGUG